UAAAAAGAAGCGAUAAUUUGCACUCAGUUUCGACCUGAGCUUAGGGAAGUCCCCUUUUUUC
rnacentral:tRNA from 1 species